CGACUACGAGUUUGAUCCUGGCUCAGAUUGAACGCUGGCGGCAUGCUUACACAUGCAAGUCGAACGCGAAAGUCCUUCGGGGCGAGUAGAGUGGCGGACGGGUGAGUAACGCGUGGGAAUCUACCCUAGAGCGGGGGACAACCCGGGGAAACCCGGGCUAAUACCGCAUACGUCCUACGGGAGAAAGAGGGCCUCUGCUUGCACGCUCUCACUCCAGGAUGAGCCCACGUCCGAUUAGCUAGUUGGUAGGGUAAAGGCCUACCAAGGCCACGAUCGGUAGCUGGUCUGAGAGGAUGAUCAGCCACACUGGGACUGAGACACGGCCCAGACUCCUACGGGAGGCAGCAGUGGGGAAUAUUGGACAAUGGGCGCAAGCCUGAUCCAGCAAUGCCGCGUGUGUGAAGAAGGCCUGCGGGUUGUAAAGCACUUUCAGUGGGGAAGAACAGAUUCGGGUCAAUACCCCGGAGCCCUGACGUUACCCACAGAAGAAGCACCGGCUAACUCCGUG
rnacentral:rRNA from 1 species